AUUGGUUUGCCAUGGCUCUUUGAAACAGUUACUCUUGUCCUCAUUGUAGAGAUGGCGAUACUAAGGCAGAAUAUGGUAAGGCUAGCCUGGACUUCUUUUUGUGGAGACUGGAUUCCAAGAUUGAAAGUAGAAGCUACAUGUUUUCUCCAAGCAGGGCUUUCAGACUUCACUUCUGCAACAUUUUAUUGAUGAAAGCAAGUCACAAGACCAGACUGAUUCAAGGGGUGGAGAAAUAGACCCUACUUCUUGAUGGAGGGAGGAGUAGAGUUACAUUGCAAAGGGAUCUGGACAAAAAAAGGAGUGAUUUAUUAGGAAUCAUGUUUAACAAUUUACCACAAUCCCCAGCGCAACUGCCUGUUAGCUGGAUCCAGAAAUGUCUACGACUACUGCAAUGCCACUUGGCCUUAGGGGUGAUGUGACCCAGUGUAAAGAGAUGGUGGUCUUAACCAAUCACAGUUAAGAUAGUUUAGUUUUGGAAGGUAUAAAAAAUAUGUAACAACAUGAAUGCACUUUUAGGGUCAGACAAGAGACUUGGAAAGAGCCUGCAAAAUGGAGGAGCCCUGAGGCCUAAGUCUCAUGAGUGUCAAUGCUUACCUGUAUCUAGACACUGGCAUCCCCCUUUUGAUAAGGCCAAGAUUGAUUGUUUUCCUUUUCUACCUACCCUAUAUCUAAUCCAUGUACAAACACUGUUGACACACAAAAGAACCCUAAAUUCAACAAUCUGUGAAGAAUUUUUGCACUAACAUGUUAGUUCA
rnacentral:lncRNA from 10 species